rnacentral:rRNA from 3 species
ACGGGUGCGUAACGCGUGGGAAUCUGCCCUUGGGUACGGAAUAACUCAGAGAAAUUUGUGCUAAUACCGUAUAAUGUCUUCGGACCAAAGAUUUAUCGCCCAAGGAUGAGCCCGCGUAAGAUUAGCUAGUUGGUGAGGUAAAAGCUCACCAAGGCGACGAUCUUUAGCUGGUCUGAGAGGAUGAUCAGCCACACUGGGACUGAGACACGGCCCAGACUCCUACGGGAGGCAGCAGUGGGGAAUAUUGGACAAUGGGCGAAAGCCUGAUCCAGCAAUGCCGCGUGAGUGAUGAAGGCCUUAGGGUUGUAAAGCUCUUUUACCCGGGAUGAUAAUGACAGUACCGGGAGAAUAAGCUCCGGCUAACUCCGUGCCAGCAGCCGCGGUAAUACGGAGGGAGCUAGCGUUGUUCGGAAUUACUGGGCGUAAAGCGCGCGUAGGCGGUUUUUUAAGUCAGAGGUGAAAGCCCAGUGCUCAACACUGGAACUGCCUUUGAAACUGGAAAACUUGAAUCUUGGAGAGGUCAGUGGAAUUCCGAGUGUAGAGGUGAAAUUCGUAGA